UGGGGAAUCUUGGACAAUGGGCGCAAGCCUGAUCCAGCCAUGCCGCGUGAGUGAAGAAGGCCUUCGGGUUGUAAAGCUCUUUUACCAGGGACGAUAAUGACGGUACCUGGAGAAUAAGCCCCGGCAAACUUCGUGCCAGCAGCCGCGGUAAUACGAAGGGGGCUAGCGUUGUUCGGAAUCACUGGGCGUAAAGCGCACGUAGGCGGAUUGUUUAGUCAGGGGUGAAAUCCCGGGGCUCAACCUCGGAACUGCCUUUGAUACUGGCAAUCUCGAGUCCGAUAGAGGUGGGUGGAAUUCCUAGUGUAGAGGUGAAAUUCGUAGAUAUUAGGAAGAACACCGGUGGCGAAGGCGGCCCACUGGAUCGGUACUGACGCUGAGGUGCGAAAGCGUGGGGAGCAAACAGGAUUAGAUACCCCAGUAGUCCCUGAGCGGGCUGGCAAGGCGCAU
rnacentral:rRNA from 1 species